GAUGAAGAACGUAGCGAAAUGCGAUAAGUAAUGUGAAUUGCAGAAUUCAGUGAAUCAUCGAAUCUUUGAACGCACAUUGCGCCCUUUGGCAUUCCGAAGGGCACACCUGUCCGAGCGCCGUCGCACAACUGAGGCGCAGCCUUGCGUUGGCGGGCGACUUGUGAGUAGCGAGUCGCCACCCAAACGAGACGGCGCCGCGCCGCGGCCGACGAAGCACGAAAGCGGAAGUCGACGCGGAGGCGGUUGCCUGUAGGAAGACACAGCUUGGCCUCGGAUCAGGUGGGGAUACCCGCUGAACUUAAGCAUAUCAAUAAGCGGAGGA
rnacentral:misc_RNA from 1 species